rnacentral:rRNA from 1 species
AGUAGUUUGAUCCGUGGCUCGAGGACGAACGCUGGGCGGCGUGCUUAACACAUGCAAGUCGAACGGUAAGGCCCUUCGGGGUACACGAGUGGCGAACGGGUGAGUAACACGUGGGUGAUCUGCCCUGCACUUCGGGAUAAGCCUGGGAAACUGGGUCUAAUACCGGAUAGGACUCCUGGCUUCAUGGUUGGGGGUGUAAAGCUUUUGCGGUGUGGGAUGGGCCCGCGGCCUAUCAGCUUGUUGGUGGGGUAAUGGCCUACCAAGGCGACGACGGGUAGCCGGCCUGAGAGGGUGACCGGCCACACUGGGACUGAGAUACGGCCCAGACUCCUACGGGAGGCAGCAGUGGGGAAUAUUGCACAAUGGGCGCAAGCCUGAUGCAGCGACGCCGCGUGAGGGAUGACGGCCUUCGGGUUGUAAACCUCUUUCAAUAGGGACGAAGCGCAAGUGACGGUACCUAUAGAAGAAGGACCGGCCAACUACGUG